GACGGAAGGUGCAAGCGUUGCUCGGAAUCACUGGGCGUAAAGGGUGCGUAGGCGGCUUGGUGGGUCUGGUGUGAAAGCCCCGGGCUCAGCCCGGGAAGGGCGCUAGAAACUGCCGAGCUCGAGUGCCGGAGGGGAGAGUGGAAUUCCUGGUGUAGCGGUGAAAUGCGUAGAUAUCAGGAGGAAUACCGGUGGCGAAAGCGGCAUCCUGGACCGGCAUUGACGCUGAGGCGCGAAAGCCAGGGGAGCAAACGGG
rnacentral:rRNA from 1 species